GACAGAGGUGCCGAGCGUUAGGCGGAAUCACUGGGCUUAAAGCGUGUGUAGGCGGAUCGGUAAGUACCUUGUGAAAUCCCACAGCUUAACUGUGGAACUGCUUGGUAUACUGCCAGUCUUGAGCCAGCUAGGGGCUACCGGAACAAAUGGUGGAGCGGUGAAAUGCGUAGAUAUCAUUUGGAACGCCAAUGGUGAAAACAGGUAGCUGGGGCUGUGCUGACGCUGAGACACGAAAGCCAGGGGAGCAAACGGG
rnacentral:rRNA from 1 species